AAAGUGGUUGUUCCACUGGAUAUCAUAAGGUGAAUGCACCAUUUUGUAAGUCGCUCUGGAUAAGAGCGUCUGCUAAAUGACUUAAAUGUAAAUGUAAUGGAAAAGUUGUGUCAGUGUUCGCAAGAGUUAACUAAGUAAAAUAGCUUUCUGUUUGUGUUAGUUAUGCAACUUUAUCACAUAAUAUACUUCAGUCGAGACCCCCAUGCAUAUUCCAUUCCAAUAUAACGUUAGCCUAGCUGGUAGCCUUAUUAUUUCGUUUUUGAUAUGCAUGUGUUUAUGCACAUCAACACCCCUAGCAUUUCAGCAUAUGUGUGUACUGUUUAUAAGGGACACAAAUUCCUAAUAAUUUUAUUUGGCAAUGCAUAUUAGUAUUGCAUCUUGACUCUUUAUAAGAUGUGUUAGGCCUAUGUAUCUUGAUGAUAAUUGAGUGAGCAAACACAUUGCAGCAUUGGGCUAGCCGUAAUUAGUUGUAUCUCUAUUGAAUAAUAUUGGAGACUCAAAAUGACAAGACCAGAGCCUGGAAGCCUAUGGAGAAGAAAGAUGAAUAAAGACAACGCUGGGCUACUUAAACGACCAAGAAGGACUGCACAUUUGGUGAGUGGCGUGGCAUUGCUCUGCCAUAUUUUAACAUAGCAGACACAAUUUUAAUUGUUUUUCAUUUUACUCCCUGCAGUCUGCCCGCAUGAAUGGAACGCAACCACCCCAUCAGGGCGGAUCAACGGACCAGCCCCAUCAGGACAGAACACACCCGCCCCAUCAGGACAGAACACACCCACUCCAUUAGGACAUCAUGAUGAAUGAACAAUAUUUCACACAGCGAAUGUUUCAAUGAUUGACUUUACCAUUGAAAAUGAAGAGCCAACAUCCAACUUCAGAUCAGCCAGCAGAGAUACUCCUGAUGUCCUAACAACUGUAUGCGACAAUACUGAUCAGUAUGAUCCAUCUGAAUCCUUUGAGGAAGUAUUGCCUGAUUUCAUGGAUUGACCCUAUGAUAACUUUAUCUUCAGUGAGGGAUUUUAAAAGGUGUCUAGCAAGGAGGGUGCAUAGUCAACAUCCAAUGACUCAACAAAAACAGGCAAACCAUUAUAUGACAAUGCAUCCAUAACCGUUGGAGAGUGUCUUUUGGUAAUCAUGGUUUACGCAAACUGUCAUAAAGUAACUGGUAAGGCCCUUAGUGUUUUGCUUAAAUUAACAGCAUUGCAUUGUCCAGUCUCAACACAGACUGCUUGGGCAGUGUACAGAAGUUCAGAGACUUGUCUCACCUGUGGGACCAGCAUGUCAGAAGAAGGAUCAGCAUCAUCCUUCAUGGAGGUUGAAAUUGAUGCUCAAAUAAGAUCAGUUUCUCAAGCCUGUUUUUUUUUCAGGAAAAGCUUAACUUUAGAUUUUGUAGGAUGAAGAAAGAAUAUACAUAUGAUGCAGAAGUUUACAGACAUCAUGCAGAUGGAGCUGGACUUCUUAGUGAUCUUAGAAACAUCUCACUUACAUGUUACACAGAUGGGGUACCAAUUUUUAAAUUGUUGACGUUUUCAGUGUGGCCUUUUUAUUGUAUCAUUAAUGAAUUGAGCUUUAUUGAAUGCACAAAAAAAUGUAAUUAGAUUUUUUGCUGGGCUUUGGUAUGGGAACUCAAAACCAUCUAUGGUUACAUUUCUUAGACCACUAAGUAACACACUGAGUAAGCUUCAAGAGGAUGGAAUUUAUGUGCAGCCUGCAGAGGGCUCUGAAACGUUAUUAUUUUUUGUGCAAAGUGCUCACCAUUGCUGGCACAUGUGACUUGCCUGCCAAAGUAAUAGUACUAAAUAUAGUACAGUUCAAUGGAAACUUUGGAUGUUUGAAAUGUGAGCAGCCUGGAAAGACUGAAGACAUGGCAAAGGGGGCAUGUUCAUGCAUUUCCAUUCGAAGAAAUGGAUCCAAAAAGGCUACCUCGCACGCAUCAAACAUUUGAUGAUGCUAAAAUGGCCUAUGAGACAAAAAACACUGUGAAAGUUGUGAAGGGUCCCUAUUGGCUCAGCCAACUUAAAAGUUAUGACCUAAUCCGUAGCACUGGCAUUGACUACAUGCACUCAGCUGUUAGGAGUGAUGCGCCUUCUGAUGCUUCUAUGAUUUUCCACUGAGUCUUCUCAUCAGCCCUUCAGCAUUUCAAAAGAAACAAAAAAAAUAGACAAGGGAUUGCAAGAUGUCCGACCACCAUCCUUGACACGAUAUCCUCGAUCAGUAGCAUCUCACAGGAUGUUUAAGGCAUCAGAAUAUUGGGCUCUUUUAACCUUUUGUUUUCCUGUGUGUUCUUUGAACGCUUUACUACAAUCACUUCCUCCUAAGUUAAGCUAUUUUCAUUCUUCUGAUGGACUCCAUAUCAAUACAACAGAUUGGUCAUGCAGAGAAACUGCUAUGGGACUUUUGCUCUCAAAUUAGUCAUCUCUAUGGGGAGCGUUACCAAACUGCAAAUAUUCAACUUCUUGUGUACCUAGCAGACAGCGUCAGAGCCCUUGGCCCAUCAUGGACUCAUUCAUGUUUCCAUUUUGAAGACAAAAAUGGCUAUUUGUUAAGGCUCAUACAGGGUACUCAAAAUAUACCCAUGAAAAAUGGUCUAUGCAGUCAAACUACUGCAGUCUAUCCCUGCUAUUUCGCAAAAUCCUAAAGCCAGCUAAUGCAAUAGCUGACUUUUACGCAUGGAUGACCAAUGACCAUAGUUUUUAAUGACGAAAACAGUGAUAAGUCGAGAAAAACAGAAUUGGAGCAUCAGGUGAACAUCAACUGGAGGCAAGGCACCUCUGCAAUAGAAAAACAUGCUGGUCGCCACAUUAGUUCACCACAUUCAGUGAAGGCAUUUUACAGGGCACAAGUUGAGAGAACUCGUCUCACAUCAAGGCAUUAUGGGAAAGGAAAAAGGUACAAAUAAAGUAUGGACAGAUUGAUUUCUUUACCUCUGAGGAAUCAGGUGACAAAUGGGCACUUAUUAGCGAAUUUGAAUGUGCAGGUUUUUCUUUGCUGCAAGAUACUGUAACACAUGGUACAUGCUUUCAUGUUGAGCCCCUAUUGGACACCCCUGUCAGCACAUUUGUAAUUGCCCAUGAGCAUGUUUUGGGCAAAGUUGUUUUCCUUGACGUCUAUGCCCGGUAUUGUGUUUGAAACUCCUUUCCAAAACACACCUGAGAAGGACUAGGUAUACUCAACAAAUGACUUGUGUUGGAACAGUAUGAAUGUAUAUUGAAUGAUGAAUUAAUGGAAAUAAAUCAUAUCUGCUCCACUUUUGUGAUUAUUUUACCCUUCAACACCGCUUUGAGAUCAUGUAGAGAUAUCUCUGAGAUGACAUUUGCAUGAAUUGAUCAGACCUGUAAUAAUUAGUCUCAUAUAUAGUUCAUAGUGAGAUAGGUCCAAGAUUACAGUGUGUAAAUACCACUGAGAUCUGUAUGGGAUGAAUGUAAAACAUGUUUGAGAUAGAGCAUCUAAUUGUUCGUAUCACAUUGAAAUCUUUAAGUACUACUCUCAUUUAUCUAGUAGCUGAGACUGAGAAAGGAG
rnacentral:lncRNA from 1 species